rnacentral:snRNA from 1 species
ACAUGAUCCCUGCACAAGGAUGACAUGCAAAUUGGUGAAGCGUUCCAUAUUUUU